rnacentral:miRNA from 1 species
UUCCUUCCGAUCAACGAGGUACAUCCUCGUUGAUCGGAAGGAAACCCUUCCGGUCAGGGAGGUACAUCGACCUCUUCGGAAGGAAACCCUUCCAAUCAGGGAGGUACAUUGACCUCUUUGACCGGAAGGGGUUCCUUCCGGUCAACAAGGAUGUACCUCGUUGAUCGGAAGGAA